rnacentral:sRNA from 1 species
CCGCGCUGCCUCUAGGUUCUGGGAAGAUGGCGAAGGUCUCAGAGCUUUACGAUGUCACUUGGGAAGAAAUGAGAGAUAAAAUGAGAAAAUGGAGAGAAGAAAACUCAAGAAAUAGUGAGCAAAUUGUGGAAGUUGGAGAGGAAUUAAUUAAUGAAUAUGGUUCUAAGCUGGGAGAUGAUAUUUGGAUCAUAUAUGAACAGGUGAUGAUUGCAGCACUAGACUAUGGUCGGGAUGACUUGGCAUUGUUUUGUCUUCAAGAGCUAAGAAGACAGUUCCCUGGCAGUCACAGAGUCAAGCGAUUAACAGGCAUGAGAUUUGAAGCCAUGGAAAGAUAUGAUGAUGCUAUACAGCUAUAUGAUAGGAUUUUACAAGAAGAUCCAACUAACACUGUAAGUUGGCAGAUUGUCUUAAAAAAUCUAAAGUUUAAUUUAAAAGAUAAAAUUAAUUCAUUGAGGAAAUAAUGGAAGAUACAUAAGGAACUAGGUAUUAUAUUUUUAAUUUUUAAUUAAAAAAUAUUUUUAUUUUUAAUUUUAAAUA